ACUCAAAGGAAUUGACGGGGACCCGCACAACCUGUGGAGCGUGUGGUUUAAUUCGAUACAAAGCGAAAAACCUUACCAGGGCUUGACAUCUUACCGUUUUAUACUUUUGGAAACAUUAGUAGAUCCGCAAGGAUGGUAGGACAGGCGCUGCAUGGUUGUCAUCAGUUCGUGCCGUGAGGUGUUCCCUUAAGUGGGGAAACGAACGCAACCCCCGUGAAAUGUUAAAUAUUCAUUUCAGACUGCCUUGUUUUUACAAGGAGGAAGGAGGGGAAGAUGUCAAAUCAGCAUGGCCCUUAUGCCCUGGGUUACACACACACUACAAUGGCGAAAAACAACGAGUUGCAAGCUAGCAAUAGCAAGCUAAUCUCUCAAAUUUCGUCUCAGUUCAGAUUGGGGUCUGCAACCCGACCCCAUGAAGUCGGAAUAGGUAGUAAUCGCGGAUCAGCAUGCCGCGGUGAAUACGUUCUCGGGUCUUGUACACACCGCCCGU
rnacentral:rRNA from 1 species